GUAUUGUGGUGCAGUUGGUAGCACGUUGCACCAGCAGCAAGAAGGUCCUAGGUUUAAAUCCUGGCCUGUGGUACU